CUGACCUCGUGAUCCGCCUGCCUCGGCCUCCCAAAGUGCUGGGAUUACAGGCGUGAGCCACCGCGCCCGGCCGCUGCUUUAAGUUCUUAACACGUCCUCACCGCGGCUCAGCUCACUGUACGGCCCCUGCAUAGAGAGGGGAGGGCAGGGGCCAUGAUACUGAACUCACAGCUCUGGGCAUUUCUGAAGUCUGGCCCUUGAAGCUUUUCCUAGAGCAAAUUGUUUUCUUCUCCCCUUCAGGAAACUGAAAAUUCACACAGCAGCCGUGGGAGUCAGAGUAGCAAAGGCUUUGAGAUCACAUAGACCUGGGACACGUGCUUGCUUUGUGAUUACGGGCUUUGUGAGAAAUAUCAGAUCCAUUGCAGGAAAUAAAGAAAAGACAUGUUCUCUGCAGACCCACAUGGCAGGUGCGGGGACUGCUUGCCAACCCAUGGCAACUCACCUGUAGCGCAUGGAGAUUUGGGGGUAAACCCAGUGAUGCUGAGUAUGUGGGCUGCCCAAGCUGGGUGGCAACCAACCCCAGCAUUGAAUGUGCUGAGAGCUGGACCGGUGGAUGUCCCCACUGCCCUGAGGCAGGUCCAGGAGAAGGCUCCUACCUGCUGUGCAGAGGGCAAGCCCCAAGUCAAGACUCCCAAAAUGUUACCAGAUGUCAGGCAUGAAAUAUACACCCCUGGCAAGCUCUGCCAUGCACAGGAGUCAUGCUGCUUUCAAUCCACGGGAGAGCCGGACACGAGCGUUCCAAGGCAGGAGCAGAACUCCAUGUUGGCCAUUAUAAAGACAAGAUUCCUUUUCCCCCGCUUUUUAUAGCCUCUCUGGGUAAGAUGUGUCUGGAAGGAGGUGUGGGCCAGGAAAGAGCAUAUGUCUGAUGCCUGGGAUUCCAGGACAGAAAGUACAGCCGACUCCAAGCUCUUGGGAUGGGAUUGGAGGGUCUCAAAACCUUGCCAGCUUUGGAGUCAGAGAGAAAAGAGUCCCAACCCCAGAUUUAUCAUUUGCUAACAAAUGUGACCUUGGGCAAAUCAGCUCACCUCUCUGGCCCUCAACAGAGAUAAUCCUGGGACCUAUUUCACAGUCAUGGAGAGGAUUAAAUGGGAAGAGGAAUAAAAGGAGUUUGGAGAAGUG